AAUGAACGUUGGCGGCGUGGAUUAGGCAUGCAAGUUGAGCGAGAAGUUUUAAAAAGAUACUUCGGUUGAUUUUUAAAAUGGACAGCGGCGAAAGGGAGAGUAACGAGUAGAUACGUACCCAAGGGUCCGGGAUAGCCAUGCGAAAGCGUGAGUAAUACCGGAUAAUGUCUCCGGACCAAAGAUUUAUUGCCCUUGGAGCGGUUUGCUUACUAUUAGGUAGUUGGUGGGGUAAAGGCCUACCAAGUCUACGAUCUAUAGCUGGUUUGAGAGGAUGAUCAGCAACACUGGGACUGAGACACGGCCCAGACUCCUACGGGAGGCAGCAGUAAGGAAUAUUGGACAAUGGGGGCAACCCUGAUCCAGCCAUCCCGCGUGAAGGAAGACUGCCCUAUGGGUUGUAAACUUCUUUUAUAUGGGAAGAAACGAGAUUACGUGUAAUCUUUUGACGGUACCAUACGAAUAAGGACCGGCUAACUCCG
rnacentral:rRNA from 1 species